ACACAUGCAAGUCGAACGAUGAUGCCAGCUUGCUGGUGGAUUAGUGGCGAACGGGUGAGUAACACGUGAGUAACCUGCCCUUGACUCUGGGAUAAGCCUGGGAAACUGGGUCUAAUACCGGAUAUGACCUUCCAUCGCAUGGUGGUUGGUGGAAAGCUUUUGUGGUUUUGGAUGGACUCGCGGCCUAUCAGCUUGUUGGUGGGGUAAUGGCCUACCAAGGCGACGACGGGUAGCCGGCCUGAGAGGGUGACCGGCCACACUGGGACUGAGACACGGCCCAGACUCCUACGGGAGGCAGCAGUGGGGAAUAUUGCACAAUGGGCGAAAGCCUGAUGCAGCGACGCCGCGUGAGGGAUGACGGCCUUCGGGUUGUAAACCUCUUUCAGUAGGGAAGAAGCGUAAGUGACGGUACCUGCAGAAGAAGCGCCGGCUAACUACGUGCCAGCAGCCGCGGUAAUACGUAGGGCGCAAGCGUUAUCCGGAAUUAUUGGGCGUAAAGAGCUCGUAGGCGGUUUGUCGCGUCUGCCGUGAAAGUCCGGGGCUCAACUCCGGAUCUGCGGUGGGUACGGGCAGACUAGAGUGAUGUAGGGGAGACUGGAAUUCCUGGUGUAGCGGUGAAAUGCGCAGA
rnacentral:rRNA from 1 species